GACGAACGCUGGCGGCGUGCUUAACACAUGCAAGUCGAACGGAAAGGCCCUUCGGGGUACACGAGUGGCGAACGGGUGAGUAACACGUGGGUGAUCUGCCCUGCACUUCGGGAUAAGCCUGGGAAACUGGGUCUAAUACCGGAUAGGACCACUGCCUGCAUGGGUGGGGGUGGAAAGCUUUUGCGGUGUGGGAGGGGCCCGCGGCCUAUCAGCUUGUUGGUGGGGUGAUGGCCUACCAAGGCGACGACGGGUAGCCGGCCUGAGAGGAUGACCGGCCACCCUGGGACUGAGAUACGGCCCAGACUCCUCCGGGAGGCAGCAGUGGGGAAGAUUGCGCAAUGGGCGCAAGCCUGAUGCAGCGGCGCCGCGUGAGGGAUGACGGCCUUCGGGUUGUAAUCCUCUUUCAGCACCGACGAAGCGCAAGUGACGGUAGGUGCAGAAGAAGGACCGGCCAACUACGUGCCAGCCGCCGCGGUAA
rnacentral:rRNA from 1 species